rnacentral:lncRNA from 1 species
CGAGAGGCCGAGACCGUAGAAGACUUGGCCGAGAGGCCGAGACCUUAGAAGACUUGGCUGAGAGGCCGAGACCUGAGAAGACUUGGCCGAGAGGCCGAGGGACCGAGACCUUAGAAGGCUUGGCCGAGAGGCCGAGACCUUGGAAGGCUUGGCCGAGACGGCCGAGGAGCCGAGACCUUAGAAGACUUGCCCGAGGGGCCGAGACCUUAGAAGACUUGGCCGGGAGGCCGAGACGAUCGAGAGGUCGAGAUCUUAGAAGACUUGGCCGAGACGAUCGAGACCACUGGAACAUGGCCGAUGGCCGACCCAUGCCAUGAUGAUUUGGCCGAUGGCCGACCCCUAUUACAGUUAACGCUCAAACCAAGAUCAGUGAAGUUAAUCUAUCAUUAAGAAUUAGGUAAUGCAAACCUAAGAGGUGUCCACCUCGAUAAAUGGGCCCAACAAGGUAGGCCCACUAGAAU